GGAAGGAUCAUUAAUGAAAUUUAUGACUGGAGUUGUAGCUGGCCUUUAAAAACGGCAUGUGCACGCUCCUUUCACUAAUCCACACACACCUGUGCACCUUCGCGGGGGUCUCUUCGUUAACUCGAAGAGGCUCGCGUCCCUUUACACACCCUUUGUAUGUCUUAAGAAUGUCUACUCGAUGUAAUAAAACGCAUCUAAUACAACUUUCAACAACGGAUCUCUUGGCUCUCGCAUCGAUGAAGAACGCAGCGAAAUGCGAUAAGUAAUGUGAAUUGCAGAAUUCAGUGAAUCAUCGAAUCUUUGAACGCACCUUGCGCCCUUUGGUAUUCCGAAGGGCACACCUGUUUGAGUGUCGUGAAAUUCUCAACCCUCUUCACUUUUGUGAACGUAGUGGAUUGGACUUGGAGGCUUUGCCGGGCUUCACCGCUCGGCUCCUCUCAAAUGCAUUAGUGCGUCUUGUUGCGACGUGCGCCUCGGUGUGAUAAUUAUCUACGCUGUGGUGUGCUUGCUUCUGUGGAGACGCGCUUUCUAACCGUCCGAAAGGACAGCUUUCAUCGAACUUUGACCUCAAAUCAGGUGGGACUACCCGCUGAACUUAAGCAUAUC
rnacentral:rRNA from 1 species